rnacentral:rRNA from 1 species
GACGAACGCUGGCGGCGUGCUUAACACAUGCAAGUCGAACGGAAAGGCCCUGCUUUUGUGGGGUGCUCGAGUGGCGAACGGGUGAGUAACACGUGAGUAACCUGCCCUUGACUUUGGGAUAACUUCAGGAAACUGGGGCUAAUACCGGCUAGGAGCUCCUGCUGCAUGGUGGGGGUUGGAAAGUUUCGGCGGUUGGGGAUGGACUCGCGGCUUAUCAGCUUGUUGGUGGGGUAGUGGCUUACCAAGGCUUUGACGGGUAGCCGGCCUGGGAGGGUGACCGGCCACAUUGGGACUGAGAUACGGCCCAGACUCCUACGGGAGGCAGCAGUGGGGAAUAUUGCACAAUGGGCGGAAGCCUGAUGCAGCAACGCCGCGUGCGGGAUGACGGCCUUCGGGUUGUAAACCGCUUUCGCCUGUGACGAAGCGUGAGUGACGGUAAUGGGUAAAGAAGCACCGGCUAACUACGCG